CUAGCGGGANUUUCUUACACAUGACCCGUCGAACGGCAGCGCGAGGAAAGCUUGCUUUUUUUGGCGGCGAGUGGCGAACGGGUGAGUAAUGUAUCGGAACGUGCCCAGUAGCGGGGGAUAACCACUCGAAAGAGUGGCUAAUACCGCAUACGCCCUUCGGGGGAAAGGGGGGGAUUCUUUCGGGAACCUCUCACUAUUGGAGCGGCCGAUAUCGGAUUAUCUAGUUGGUGGGGUAAAGGCUCACCAAGGCCACGAUCCGUAGCUGGUUUGAGAGGACGGCCAGCCACACUGGGACUGAGACACGGCCCAGACUCCUACGGGAGGCAGCAGUGGGGAAUUUUGGACAAUGGGGGGAACCCUGAUCCAGCAAUCCCGCGUGUGCGAUGAAGGCCUUCGGGUUGUAAAGCACUUUUAGCAGGGAAGAAACAGCGCCGGUUAAUACCCCGGCGUCACUGACGGUACCUGCAGAAUAAGCACCGGCUAACUACGUGCCAGCAGCCGCGGUAAUACCUAGGGUGCAAGCGUUAAUCGGAAUUACUGGGCGUAAAAGGGUGCGCAGGCGGCCCUGCCAAGAAAGGUUGUGAAAUCCCAGGGCU
rnacentral:rRNA from 1 species